rnacentral:piRNA from 1 species
UUGCUGAAAUACUCUGGCGAUUAUGUC